AGUGAACGCUGGCGGUAGGCCUAACACAUGCAAGUCGAACGGCAGCACAGGAGAGCUUGCUCUCUAGGUGGCGAGUGGCGGACGGGUGAGGAAUACAUCGGAAUCUGCCCAGUCGUGGGGGAUAACGUAGGGAAACUUACGCUAAUACCGCAUACGACCUUCGGGUGAAAGAGGGGGAUCGCAAGACCUCUCGCGAUUGGAUGAGCCGAUGUCGGAUUAGCUAGUUAGCGGGGUAAUGGCCCACCAAGGCGACGAUCCGUAGCUGGUCUGAGAGGAUGAUCAGCCACACUGGAACUGAGACACGGUCCAGACUCCUACGGGAGGCAGCAGUGGGGAAUAUUGGACAAUGGGCGCAAGCCUGAUCCAGCCAUACCGCGUGGGUGAAGAAGGCCUUCGGGUUGUAAAGCCCUUUUGUUGGGAAAGAAAUCUUUCAGGCUAAUACCCUGGGAGGAUGAUGGUACCCAAAGAAUAAGCACCGGCUAACUUCGUG
rnacentral:rRNA from 1 species